UGGACUCCUGACCUCCGGUGAUCCGCUUGCCUUGCCCUUCCAAAGUGUUGGGAUUACAGGCAUGAGCCACUGGGCCCAGCCAAUUAAAAAGCACUAUUUUUAACCAAGGAACUUUACUUGCUUUGUUUUCAUUUUUGCAGACAGAUGCAGUAUUAAAGUUGAAUGCAUUUGAAUGCCAUUACUGUCCAUAGUUCAACAUUUGACCUCUUUGGCAACUAAACAGUAUUUUAUGUAUAUUAUGUUGUUUUACAUUUUCUAGAGGAGUAUAGCGGGAUGGGGCCUGUUUUUGGUCCUCAUGUCUUGGAGAGCUUUCCUCUUCAUGCUGGUGGGCCACACUUGGCUGGAGAUUCUUUUCUGUUCUUUGAAUCCGGACUACAAUAGGACAAAUUAACUCCAGUGGUCAUACAAGUCAUGAAGAAAUGAAUUUAAUAGUGUAUCAGUUAGGAUUCUGUUAUGACAUGUGCCCAAAUCAUCUGGAAAUAGUUUAAGCCAAAGAGAAGAAUUUCAUUAAAAGAUUCAGGGACAUAUGAGAUCUAAAGCCAGGAAUACAACUGUGACUGAGGAAGAGACUUUAAGUAGGAACGGGAAAAUCAGCAAGAAGCCAGGCAUCCCCUCGGUGUGCUUGCUGCGACGUGCACUCUGUGCAGAGUGGCUGUCCCUGCUUCCAGUCCACCCAGAAGGCAAUAAAGGGCCAGCCUGAGACCCUCAGAUUGUAAUCCCCUUCAUUCAAGAGAACAGCCAAGGCUGUCUGUGGUGGCUCAUGGCUCAUCCCAGCACUUUGGGAGGCUGAGGUGGAAGGAUCAUUUGAGUCCAGGAAUGUGAGACCAGCCUGGGCAACACAGUGAGACCCCACCUCUACAAAAAAUACAAAAAAAUUAGCUAAGCAUGGUGGCACAUGCCUGUAGUUCCAGCUACUCAAGAGGCUGAGGUAGGAGGAUUGCUUGAGCCUGGGAAGUCAGAGGCUGCAGUGAGCAGUGAUUGUGCCAGUGCACUCCAGCCUGGGUGACGGAGCAAGACCAUCUAAAAAAAAAAAAGAUAGAUCAGGAGACUGGCCAAGACUCAGUGAGGAUCUGUUUGUCUCAUUUCCAAAUGUGUCCUGGAGAACCAACGUUAGUGCAGUCAACAGUGGUCAGUGUGGAGUCGCAAAACACAAACUCCAGCUUUUGGAAGCCUGGCCUGUAGGAGGGGUCCACUUCCUCCAAAGGCACCUGCUUCAAAUAUCCCCCCUGCUAAACCAGAAUCAUUGCUGUUAGGAUGACCUUUCUAUUUCAGAAGGAACUAGAGGACUCUGCAGAGAUGGUGGCGGAGGCGAGAUCUAUGUCUGGAGGGGCCAUGUAUAAAAAACAUGGACCUGCCGUGUUUCUGGUCCUUACCACUUCUGAGUUGUCCGAUUUUACAGAAGAGGACUUGAAAGACGUAAGACAUGGCCAAGAAUUCAUCAUCUGCCUCUGCUCCAAAACCACAUUCUACUAAAAAAAGGUUUUGACGGUGAGGAUCAAGAGCCAGCCCAUGAACCCCUGAUUCGGCCCGUGAAGCUUGUACUCUGGCAGAACGUCCAGCCUGGCAUCUGAGGCAGCACUUAUCUGGAGCCUCUUGUAUGAGGAGGAUCUCAAAAGAACCAGGGGGGAGCCCUGGGAGAGGAAACUGGGGCCAGCCGUGUACACAGACAUGGAUUCGAGACGGUGUCGGGCCAGCCUGAGAAAUAGCAGGAAACCUGGCAUGGCGUAGGGUGGGGCUCUAGGUGCCUGAUGAAAGUGAGAUGGAGGGAGUGCAUCGUGGUGACUGCAGAGUCCUCAAAGCCACUGUUAACCUCACCUCCACCUCCUGUCAGCUUGUGACCUUGGUAGCACAGAGAAAUGGAUGUUUCUUGACAACCCAGUCUAGUCAUAUGGCAAAAUAAACGAAAAAACAGAACCCAUGUCCAAUUCUGGAGGCUGGGAAGUCCAUCAUUAAGUGCUGGCAGAUUCAGUGUCUGGUGAGGGCUGCUUCCUGGUUCAUAGACGUGCCUUCUUGCUGAGAUCUCAGAUGGUGGGCGGGGCUUGGCAGCUCUGGAGCCUCUUAUAAGGGCACUAAUCCUAUUCAUAAAGGCAUCAUCCUCAUGACCUGAUCACCUCUCAAAAAUCCCACCUCCUAACACUAUCACCUCUGGGGUUAUGGAUUUUGUUGGAGACAGAAACAUUCAGACCAUAGUGGUACUCGAUAAAAUGUUUAUUAAUAUGUAUUAAUUCUGGGAGUCAAGCAAACCCAAUGAAUUGAUCACUGGGAUUUUGACACCACAAUCAGAUAAACAAUUUAAAAAUA